GACGAACGCUGGCGGCGUGCUUAACACAUGCAAGUCGAACGAAGCUUGAUUACGUAUUCUUCGGAUUCCGUUUGAUAUGACUGAGUUGCGGACGGGUGAGUCACGCGUGAGUAACCUGCCCUUCAGAGGGGGAUAGCGUUUGUACACGAACGGUAAUACCGCAUAAUGUAUUUUGACCGCAUGAUCGAAAUACCAACGAUUUAUCGCUGAAGGAUGGACUCGCGUCUGAUUAGGUAGUUGGGGGGGUCACUGCCUACGAAGCCGACGAUCAGUAGCCGGAGUGAGAGGUUGAUCAGAUACAGAGGGACAGAGACACGGCCCAGAUUCCUAAGGGAGGAAGCAGGGGGGAAGAUUGAAGAAUGGGAGCAAGCAGGAUGAAGCAACGGCGCGGGAAGAAAGACGGUUGGCGGAAUGUAAACUUCUGUUGUGAGGGAAGAAGAGUGACGGUAGCGAAGGAGGAAGCCACGGCUAACUACGUG
rnacentral:rRNA from 1 species